AUAAGAAAUUAAAAAAUAUAUGACACAGAGAGAUUGAUUAACACUCUGGUCUGUCUCUCAUGCUCUCUGCAGGUUCAGCACCGCAGCACUCUGCUGGGUCACAGCGGUGCUGUCCAGGCGCUGGCGAGUGGACGAGGUCCACAGUUCCUCACGGUGUCUGAGGACCGCUCUCUCCGAGCCUGGAGCGUUCGUACAGAGAAUCCUCCCUUUCAGGAAGAGUGUGUGAGUGCAGUGUGUUUUCUGGAUUCAGAGAAGCUGCUGGUGUGUGGUUAUACCUCAGGAAAACUGGAGAUAUGGCACAACACUUUAAAGAUCUACUCCAGUAAGGUGAGCGACAGUCGUAUUCGAGCGGUGAGCGGAAUGCCGGAUCAGAGCCUGGCUGUGGGCUGCAGUGAUUACACUGUGACUGUCUUUAAACUGACCAGAGACCAUCAGCACUGCACUGCCAGUUUGACUAAAGGAUCGUUGUAUACUUUGGAGAAGGGUGUGAAUUUCCUGUGUUACUGUAACACUCUGAUGGGAGUGUGUGUGGACAGUUCUGUCAUCGACAUCUUCUCCACUGUGACCGACAAUACAAGAAUGAUCGACACGUGGCAGUACACCAUGCGGAUUAUGGGCGUUUUCAAGAGUGAUGUAAACAGCCUGUGGCUGCUGGGAGAGGAAAACGACAACAUCCACCUUUCAUACCUGCUCUGUGCCAGUGCGGAACUGACCUCAAAUUCAACGACUAUGAGUGCGAAAGUGGGAGGGGACAAGGACAGUGAUGAUGAAGAUGAGAAGGACACGGAGAAAGAGCAGACUUUCACCAUUACAGCUGCUACCAUGCACAACAAUUUUAUCGUGUGUGGAGACUCUAAAGGCAAUAUGUGGUUCAACAAUGUGUCGAACACGGACAGCUGGAGCCCAAGAAGACCCGUUCACAGUGACAGGAUCAGUGUUCUGCGGCUGACGGACAGCACUAUAAUCUCCGCCUCUCACGACAGAACCGUCAAACUGUGGGACAGAACCACCAACAAACAGGUGGGUCUGUUUGUGUGUGCUGCUGCGGUGGAGGUGAUGGAGGUGGACCCCGCGGACCCCUGCAGGCUGGUGUGUGGAGAUGCGCUGGGGAAGCUCUACUUCCUGUCCUGGAAAGAAUAAUUAUCAUCUCAUCACUAUAAAACAGACGUUUAACACUCCAAGCUUUAGGCACCUCGGUGCAACACUACAGUUAUGUUUACAUGAUCAUCGUUGCUGUCGUGCCAAAACCUUGUAUCUCCACUUUUGCAUUUUUCGAAAUGUUCAAUUGUAUUGCGUGCAAUACAUACUGAUUUUACAUACUCACAUACUAACUUACAUACUAACUUACAUACUAACAGACAAGUUUACAUAGUCACUUGUCUGUUCACACAAACCCUACCCAAUCUACCCAGACAGUUGAAUGUUUCCUUUAAGCUUUAAUGCUUUUAUGAUAACGAUGUGGAAUGUGGUUUGUGAUAUUAAUAUAUAAAUGAUUGCUUUUGUUGUUAUUAUUAUUAAAAUAUAUAUAUAUUUUAAUUUAAUUGCAAAAAUCAUUUAAACGCUUAAAAAUCUUCUAAAAUGGCAAUAAUAGAAUGUAAGAUGCUAUUAUUAAUAUAAUAAUAAUAGGACACACCUCUCUGUGCCUCUAUAUGAUUUUGAUUGAUUUUUUUCUGAUUUAAAAUGUAUUUCAUUUAUAUUUUCAAUAUUGUAAAUGUGCACUCUUUCGUUUAGAUGUAAACCAGCUGAAUGAAAAGGUUUAAUAAAGAACAUUUACAUAUGCA
rnacentral:lncRNA from 1 species